AUGAAGCCUGGGGUUUGUAAUGAGCUCAGAGAAGUCAAUGGAGAGGAACGGCGGCUCCGCAGGGGUGGCAGCCUCCUGGCUCAGGCGCCAUGUUGGACACCCGCGCUGUGGAGGUGCCGCCCCUCCACAGCCACCACAGCGGGACAGGGACAAAUCGCUCGCAGGAGAGGCCCCGCAGAGAGGCCUCAGCCGUGCCCUCGACGUGAGCCUGCAGCGCUUGGCCUGAGGCUGUCGGUGACACCCCCACAGGGGGGUCCCCCAGCCGUGGACACGCCGGGUGUUGCUAGGCCCAAGCUGCCACCCCCCAGCAGUGGCCAUUUCCCCCACAGUCAGCGCAAGCCUGGGCAAAGUCACCCAGAGCACAAACCCAGGUUUCUACCCCCAAAGCCAGGCUUCUUCCACCAUGGCUUGGCUCUUGCGAGCUGCAUAUGGAUUUUUGGUACACUUACAGCUUCAGGAGCUGCAGCUAUAAGAAAAUUACUGGAUGUCAUGAAGAUCACUGGACAGUUCAGGAAUUCCAAGGACCAGCUAUAUAGACAGGUAGGAUAGAGGGGCUGUUUGCCUAGGGGUUCAUGCUCAAAACUCCUGUCACAUCACCACGGUCCAAGGGCAAGCUGCAGUUCAUCAGAAGGUGAUCUGCCAAACCACUGAACCCCCUGAACAACACUAGAGACAGUGGAUAAACAUUUGUGGGUCUCUACAGUCUGGUGACUAUUAAACUAGGCUUGAAGUAUUUGUAAUUCUAGCAGCCAAAGUUGGCAAAACUUGAGCUUCGCUCACCUCAACGCAGGGGUUUCCCCUUUAUUGCCCCAGUCCCGACCUCCCUGCAAGGUGCUUGGAGAGGCUGUGGGUUUUGCUUCAAGGGCUGGGUGUUUGCUUCAAAAACGAGCUGAGCUGCAGCAGCCGUGCAGCCCCCGGCCCUGGGGACGUGAGGCUGGAGGGGACGCCCAGCGGGGCUCCAUCCUGCAACGGGGUUCGGUAACCACACGUCAUUAUGGGCACAAACUCAGGGCAAAACGCUGGUCCCUGCGCUUGUCGGGACUUUGCGCCUCCAAGGCUUUGGGCAAGUUGGCUGGGAAUUAGUCAUUGGGUUUAAAAGCUCAGUGGGGGGCUGACAGACAGAUGGCAGAAAGACAAAUAGGCAGCUGGCACGACUGCAGCGCUUUGUCACCUCAGAAAAGCAGAAAGAAAAUGGGAUGUGUGUUGUCCUGAGGCUUUUUAGAAAAGGCUUGAUGCAGCCAGAGAGGUGGUGGGGAGCUGGACCAGGACCGCAGGGAUCGGCAGCGCUCGAGAGGAUGGAAAGAACAAGGACCGGAGAGCCAGAC
rnacentral:lncRNA from 1 species